rnacentral:lncRNA from 1 species
AUUUGGAUAUGUCCAGGGAGUCCAAGCUGAGCCGGGCCAGGCUGGGCCAGAAGCGUCAGCACAGCAGCAGCCUGUACCACAGUAACUGUGACCUGGACUAUGAUCUCUACAGGGACGACUUCCCAUACCGGUGAGCACAGCAUUCCAGGAGCGAGAUGAGCUGAGCAUGGCUGGGUUUGACCUGUGACUGUCUCUGAUCAUGGAAAAACGGGGUGUCCCUGGGCAUCCGUCCCCUUGCCUUUGACAAAGGCUCGGUCGUGUUUCCCCCCUUGAGGGAGCUGCACCUUCCCCAGGCUGGGGGCCUUGGGGAGGGGUACCUGGGGCAGGGACAGCAUGUGGGCAGGGCAGGGCCCAGCCUGGGAGUCCUUCACUGCACAGGGACCCCAGGACAUGCUCUCUUGGCUGGCAGGGGCUGCUGCUGCACCUCUGAGGUUGUGUUCACGCCCCGUGCUCUUGUGCCCUUGCAGGGUAUACGAGUACCAGAAGAUCCCCCCACUCAUUAACCGCAUCCCAGUCAAGACCAGGCGGACUCACUCGAGAGCAGGAAGCAAGAGCAGCCUGAGUCCCCAGCCUGGGACAAGGAGCAGCACCAGCUCCACAACAGGACGGACAAAGUUGCAAGUUGAAGAGCUGCACUCCAUCAAGGGGGAGCUGAGCCAGAUCAAGGCGCAGGUGGACAGUCUGCUGGAGAGCCUGGACCGCAUGGACCAGCGGAGAGAGCGUCUCACAGGGUCCAAGGAAAGCGAGAAGAAGAGGGCAGAGCCGGGGACAGAGUCACCAUCCCCAGCUGGAGAGGGGUCACAGGAGUCACGGAGAAAGGAGGGGACAAGGGCUGAUGGGGACAGAGACCUGCACAACAUUGACAGUGCAGAGGAGAGCACAGACACAGAGGAGACGGUGAAAACCCACAUUUCGGACUCCAAGGGGAGCCAGUAGCCAGCCUGGGAUGCUGUGGCCUUCCUGUGGGGCCAGCCCUUCCCAGCUUGUGUUCUUUAUUUCUUUUGAGGCUUCCAGCUAGUGCCACACACGACACGAGGUGCCUACCCUCGGCAUGGCCAUCCCCUGCCACUGGCAGCCUCAUGUCCUAUCCUGGAAGUUGCCCGCCAGCUCUGGUGACAGUUUUUGUGUUCCAGUGCACUUGUUUUCUUUUUCCUUCUGUUUUCAGACCAAUGGAUAAGCAGAGGUGGCCUGGGGAGGGAAGGGAGAAGUAAAAAAUAGAAAGGACCAUAUCCCAGAGUAGCAUCUCAAAUCCCAGCUGGUCUGCGGCCAGCAUCGCCUCACCCACAGGAUGCUGUGGAGAGAGAAUGUAGCCCAGUGUUCCCACCCCUAUGGCACAACUGGCAUCCCAACCUUCAGACCCUGGGAACUGGUGCAGCAGGCACAGGUACAGCCCAGGAUGGCUUUCAGAGCUGCUCAGUGUCCCACCUUAGGAAGAAGGAACCAUGCUAAGCCAGCUUUAGGAGGCUUUUGUGGGAUUUUAGGAUGGUGCCAAGCCUAACUCUGAUGUGACCUGCAGGACCAGCAGUGGGGCAAUACCAACCCAAUCAUUCCCACUUGCCCCAGCUCCCAAAUGUGUUUUCCUUACUGAUUUUCCACAGGCUGUUCUCAGCCAGGCAUUGCAUCUGCAGCCAGCAGGACUCUAGUAAGAGCUUUACUAGAACCCAAAAAGUCCUGGUCCCCCUUGUGCUCCCCAGUGUCACAUUUCAGUUACAUGUCCCUCAUUUCUGUUGUCCUUCUCUCACUGGUAGGAACUUGUUCUGUAUUUCUAAUUUGCUCUGGUAAAAGAGUGUAUUGUCUUGGAAAGAAAAAUUUAUAUUUCUUUUAUCUGGUUAUUUGACUCCAAUGCAGUUUUUAACCAUCUGAAGUGAACAGUUUUGUACCCCAUUUUAUGCACUGCCAGACACAGCCCUCAGCUCUGAGGGCUUUCUUGGAUGCUGCCUUUCCUACAGCUCAACCCACAGGCACGAGUGCAGCUCUGCUCUGUAUCCCAAUGGAAAAUACCCCAACUUCCCUACCAGCCCACCAUGAUGCAACUUGGCAGACAAGACCACCUGCUGCACUCCAUCCCCAGGAAUAACCAGAUUCCAAGGAAGCACCCAGCUCCCCCUGAACUCCUCAGGGACAGUGGGAGCAGAGAGGGUCACCCCAACUGUAGAAGCACAUCCUUCCACCUCUGCCCAUGGCAGAGGGCCAUGCAAGCAGAAGACUCACCAGAAAAAAUAUUAUUUAUUAUUACAAAAAAAAUUAACAAAACACAACUCUGCCACCCUGAAGCACUGCCUGGGCAAUAAGUCCAAUGGAUGCUAGUCCAUGCCAUGAUGUGGUUCCUGCCUGGUUCUGCCUAGAUGCUGCCUGCACAGAUGGAUACAGUGGGGAGCUUGGAGUGAGGGUUUCAGCCUGGUGCUGUGACCACCCCGGGGUGAGAUGUGGGGUCCUGGAGUGCCAGCAACUGCAUGGAGGGAGGUGUUGGGCAGGCUCUGGCUGCUGAGGCAGUAUGGAGGUCUUGGGGGGGCUUCAGCAGCGUGCAAGGCUGUUUGGGUCCCAUGGUGCCAGUCGAGAAUGGCCUCCCGCGACACGAUGGCUCCUUAGGUGCACUCUGGGGUGCUUGGGCAGUGCAGACUCCUGUGUCCUUCAGCACAGUUCUUGGGUCUCCAGCUACGUGGGCAGCACAAGGGGGUCUCCAGCAGUGCAAAGGUAGGCUCAUCCAGUCUCCAGCAGCAUGAGGCAUUGAUCAGGCUAGGUCUGGGCAUUCACCAGCAGUUACAAUUAAACUUAAGCUUCAACUUAAUAAACUUCUAAGAUUCUAAAAUAAACUUAUUUUA